rnacentral:rRNA from 1 species
UCCUACGGGGGGCAGCAGUGGGGAAUAUUGCACAAUGGGCGCAAGCCUGAUGCAGCGACGCCGCGUGCGGGAUGGAGGCCUUCGGGUUGUAAACCGCUUUUUUUCCCGGGCAAGUCACGGUCUUUGGCCGUGUUGAGUGGAUUGUUCGAAUAAGCACCGGCUAACUACGUGCCAGCAGCCGCGGUAAUACGUAGGGUGCACGCGUUAUCCGGCUUUAUUGGGCGUAAAGGGCUCGUCGGCUUUUCGUCGCGUCCGGUGUGCAAGUCCAUCGCUUCACGGUGUCUCCGCGCCUGUUCCGGGCGGUC